CUACCGCCGCUGAGAAGCGACGGAAUAGGGCGGCAGAAGUCAGCAGAUGCCGUAGUAGCCGUACCGGACGGCGAAGGGC
rfam:Ochrobactrum anthropi ATCC 49188 chromosome 2, complete sequence.